AUUCUGGUGACGCGAGGAAAUAAUGUGCGUCUCUCUUCUUUGUUCAACGGCGACGCAGCGACGCCUGAUCUUCUUCCAAAUCUCUGAAACGGUUCGAGUUAUAACUUUUUCGUGUUUAAUCGUCCACGAUGAGGACUUCAAUGCGUGGAAGAAGAUCUGCAAUCAUCUUCUCUGAUAUAAAUAGGCCAGUAUAUCUCUUCUUGCAAUCAUUUUUUCUGAUAUCUCUUAUACUGAUUCACGGUUUAAUAGCUAAUUCGAGGGAGUUCUUCUCCGAUUUGAAGUUCGGCAAGUGUUCCUCUGUUGUCGAGGCUGGCUGUUGCGGUUCUGGGAGGCCCGAAACGUCAAACACGGUGGCUAUCUCAUGGAAGUAGAUUUGCUCUUCCUGGAUUAUAAGGCAACACUCAUGCCAGCCACCGUCAAUAUUCUAUAUAUGCACUUUUUGGGAGAUUUUGAUGUCACUGUUUAAUCAGAAUUGUAGACUGUCAAGUUCUCUUCUAUUGAUACGGUUCAGUGAUUCAACAUGUUUGGAUGAGUUAAACGAACAGUUUAUCCCAAUUCCUGAUUUAGAUUUACCGAAACACUAAUCUUAGGAUUGAGGCGACUAUAAAGAAUCCUAGGAGUCGAAUUUCGUCAGAUGAAGUGUGCAGGCAGGCACGCAAAUCUCUCUCUUUUUCAAUCCUUGCUGUUUUUUCUGAUCUGAAAUCCUUGCUGUUAAAUUUUGCUUGAUUGUGGAGAUUUUUUUUCGUGGAUUUGAGUGCAUGAUCGUUUUGUGUGUGUGUGGAUAUUUUGGGAACUUCGGUGCUUCUUGGUUUGGUGUUGACGUCACAAUAUGAAGAUGUGUGUAUGCGUAUGUGAUGGAAUUUGAGACAUGUGGGUUUUCGUUUGAGGUCUCAUGGAAGAUACACAAGGGAAUUCUAAUGGAGUGGGAAUUUCGUAGAGAUGAAGGUCAUUGGAUCUUAAGACGAUGUAUAAGUCUCCCAUUCCCAAGGAUUCUGUUGAUAAGAGCUUUAAGAGGAAACAUAGGUCUGGGAUUGAUGAUGAUCGGUUGAAAUAUGACAAAGAAACAAGAAAGUUGGUAACUGAAACGGUUCUUGAUAAGGUUUGACAGUUUGGAGGAAUCGAAGGUGUGUUUGAAUGUGAGAAUGUGUGACUGGGUAAUGGGCUUCGAUAUUCCAGUUGGAUUGACAGGUAGUAUGAUUUACAGUCCUACACGCAAAAGAGGGAUUUUGUUGGCUGGAGUAGAUUUGAGAAAUAGUGUGAAGUCAGAGAACUUCAAAUCUUUUACAUAUUUGUUUUUUUUUUUUGGCAAAUUUUUACAUAUUUGUUUCUGUUGCUGUAAUUUCUUAAAAUUUCCACCGUCUCAGACAUUUUAAAGUGAAUAAAUUAGAAAUUCCUGCUA